GACGAACGCUGGCGGCGUGCUUAACACAUGCAAGUCGAACGGAAAGUCCCUGCUUUUGUCUUGCGCUCAAUUGGCAAGAGGAGUGGCAAACGGGUGUUAACCACCUCUGUAAUUUGGCCAACAUUCGGGAAUCUGGGUUGAAAACAGGUGAUAAUACCGUCUAACAGUUUAUGGCUCGUAAGAUUAGGGCGGUAGGGGCUGGCGUCGGGGCUUAUCGGCUUGUUGGUGGGUUAGUGGGUUACUAAGGGUGUGACGGGUAGCCGGCCGGCGGGGUUCACCGGCCACAUGGGGACUGAGAUACGGCCCAGACGCCUACGGGAGGCAGCAGUGGGGAAUAUUGCACAAUGGGCGGAAGCGUGAUGCAGCAACGCCGCGUGCGGGAUGACGGCCUUCGGGUUGUAAACCGCUUUCGCAGGUGACGAAGCGUGAGUGACGGUAAUGGGUAAAGAAGCAACGGCUAACUACGUG
rnacentral:rRNA from 1 species